rnacentral:lncRNA from 1 species
AUGUCUUUCCAUUUAAAACCGUGGGAUUUGACAAAAAAAAAGGGGUUGAAUAGUUUGCAUCACUGGAUAUUAUUGGUCGUUUAUGUCGGGGAACGCUACGUUUCUUAUACAGUCGAGCCGACUGUUUCAACGAACGCGACUUUCACCGCACAAGCUCUUUACUUUCGGUUUUCAUUCUUGACUUCAGCAUUAACGGCAAUCCAAAACCGACAUUAUUAUUCAAUUCGAGCGCAGUGUUUUGCUGAACGGGACAGUCGUGGAGAGGAUUCUUGUCAGUGAUGCACGUUUAAAGGGACAGUUCGACAAGCAACCUGUUGUCAGACCCAUUCAAGAUGAGGUCCUGCAAAUGAUGGUGGAGAAUUAUCAUGCAACAGCAAGUAAAGAUUCUUAAUGCAUUAGUUCCUGUAGAUUAGGAUUAGAGACAGAUCAGUAAAAUUUUUAACGAUAUUGAUUUUAUUAAUGUGUUAAUGUUCAGAACCUAUUUUCAAUUGUUAUAUUUCAGCUUAAAAAACAGUAGAUAAUCAUUCGAUUAUAACAAUAAACAGUAAAACCACAACAAUAAAGCUUAAAGUACAUUAUGAAUAUAAAAUAAUAAUUCUGACAUAUUGUCAGCAUUAAACUACUAAUUAUUUAAUUAUUUAGUUUUUGAAAUGUGGCUUCAAUCUUUUUUUUAUUUUGCAGUAUUGUUUGCAUUAACUGGCAUAAUCAAGCUAUUGGCAUUGGCAUUAUUAUGUAUGCCUUUUAUUCUGUUCUAUUUAUGCAAAGUUGGUUUAUAUAUAUAUAUAUAUGUGUGUGUGUGUGUGUGUGUGUGUGUGUGUGUGUGUGUGUUGUUUCUUAGUUUUGGGUUACUGUACUAAAGUUUAAAUGCACUGUUACUGUUUACUUUAAUUAGUAAACAUAUACAGUUGUUAGUAACUUGAGCAUGACUAAAUUUAUGACCUUGUUCUUAUUUAUUGUCAAGUUAGGUUAGUUAUAUAUAUAUAUAUGUGUGUGUGUGUGUGUGUGUGUGUGUGUGUGUGUGUGUGUGUUUUCUAUUUUGGGUUACUGUCAAGUUUAAAAUGCACUGUUACUGUUACUUUAAUUGUAAAACAUAUACAGUGUUUGAACUUGAGCAUGCAAAUUUAUGCAAACAAUACAUUCAAUGAAUUGCUGUUCUUUACUGUUGAGCAUACAGUGGUAUAACACUGUUGUUGGACGCUAAUCUUUAGAGACCCACCAAGUGGUGUCAUUUAUUGGAUUAAGUAAGAAUAUGUGAAUUUUGGUAAAAAAUACUGGUUUGUCAUGCAGUCACUCUGUGACAAUAAAUCCAUGUUUGUUUUUCAGGUUAUGGCACAUAUAUACGUUUGAGGGAAUGUAAGCUGCGAGGAGAUCGAGUCCUGCAGCUGUCCGACCGGAUUCAGCUCAAUGGCAAAGAUUAUCUUGACUUUAGAUUCAGACACUGAUUCGUGGACAGUGUUGAUGCCAGAGGCACAGGAUCUAAAGAAGUCAUGGACACUUAAGGCCGAGCAAGCGAGUCUAGAGAAAAUUCACCUGAAACAAGAGUGUGAGGAAUCCAUUAAACAGUGGAAUGACACCCAGAAUCAAGAAGGUGAAGACUUAUGAUGAUUAUUUGUUAGAAUAAUUUAAAUACAUGAAAGUGCCACUAAUUAAAAAAAGGUUGUUUGACUAUUAAAACAGUUGUUAUUGCCAUAUG